UGGCCAAAUGGUUAAGGUGUCCGCUUUGUAAGUGGAUGAUCAUGGGUUCGAUGCCCAU
rnacentral:tRNA from 1 species